rnacentral:lncRNA from 1 species
GGGUACCUGGUACUUUUAUUGCUCAUGGAGGAAGGACCAAAGGAUGAGGCACAGAAGCCUAGUCCAUCAUCUCUUGAUGAUCAGUGCCUGGCCAUGCAGUCUCCACUGACUCAGCCUCCAGGGACCACUUAGUGUAGGGGUGGGGCAUUGUUUACUGCAGAGCCCCUCCGGCUCCCCACUGAGCUUCCUGAUGGAGCUUAAGGCAGUCUUUGACUCUCUGCUGAUCUCAGCCUCCUUUAAUGCUGGGAGAGGGUGGAGGACAAAGCACUUCAUAAACCCAUGCUAGGUAUUGGACUGGAGGUAUUGACCGCUUUUUAAAAAAUCCCUCAAACUUUAUCCUCCUAUGCCCUCUAUCCUUCCAAAUGUUCAAAGUAAUUUUUUUUUUUUUUUUUGGUCGUUUUAGGGCCCCACUUUUUUGGUCUUUUUACCGCUGAGCCACGAUGGGAAUUCCUCAAAGUAAUUUUAUAUCAGUUAAUGCUCUGUUUCAACAGCCUUGGUCUCAGGAGAUUCUCAUGCAAAUGGAAGAGAAAGACUCAGGUGCCCUGAAACCAGGAGAUUUGUAUUUUGAGUCCCUGGAGCAAAAAGAGAAAGAUUUAAUCCUAUGGUCAGGGUGUGGGUCUCCACAUGGACUUUACACACAAAUCUGUAUCCAGUAAUACAAGUUUUGGUUCUAGUUUAUCCAAAAGCUAAAAUUUGCUAAGACUGUCCCCUUCUUCUCCACCUUUCUUCCUCCUCUCGUUAUAUGAUAAGCAUGACCAGAGAUGCUACAGAAGUAGAUUCGUCCCUUUUCCCGAAAGGUCUUUUGGCAAAGAGAAAAUCAGAUCGCACUACUGUUGAGACCUCCUUGAACCCUAACACCAGCCAAGUCUGGCAUCUUUUUUUAUCUGUGGGGUCAGGCUACCCUUGGGUCUUCUGGAACGCACCCCAUGUCCAACUGAUAAAGUUCUUUUACUCAUUAACCGGCCCUUCCUUACGUGGAUUCCUUGGAUCUCCGAACCUCAUUUCCACAUCUGCAAAAUAAAGACAAUAAUAGCUUAACCGGAAGGAUUCCCAUGAGGAUUAAAUAAGCUGAUGGGGGUAACAACUUUGCUCAUGACAGACCUUGAACAAAGAGCUAUUUUAGGAGCUAUUAUUGUCUCCCCUCAAUCUAUGGUUUAACUAUGUCAUGGAAAUGCCCUUUAUAGAGGAGAUAGAACUAGAGUUCCCGUCGUGGCUCAGUGGUAAUGAACCUGACUAGUAUCCAUGAGGACUCGGGUUCCAUCCCUGGCCCUGCUCAGUGGGUUAAGGAUCUGGGCUUUGCCAUGAGCUGUGUUGUAGGUGGCAGACGCGGCUCCGAUCCCAUGUUGCUAUGGCUGUGGUGUAGGCCGGCAGCUGUAGCUCCGAUUCCGCCCUAGCCUGGGAACUUCCAUAUGCCAGGGUGCAGCCCUAAAAAGACAAAUAAAUAAAUAAGUAAAGUAGAGGAACAAGUUGAUGGGUAACGGGGGGUUAUAAAUUGGUAAACAAGUAUGAUGUUUGGAGCUUGGAGAGGGAAUGGGCUAGAUUUCCGAAGACUUUCUCUGAGGUCAAAUGAGGUCAAAGUACUUCUUCUCAUUUAUUAUUAUUAUUAUUUGGUCUUUUUGUCCUUUUAGGGCCACGCUGCGGCAUAUGGAGUUUCCCAGGCUAGGGGUCCAAUUGAGCGAGGCCAGGGAUCAAACCUGAGUCCUCAUGGAUGCUAGUCAGGGUUGCUAACCGCUAAGCCACGAUGGGAACUCCUAUUUAUUUAUUUAUUUAUUUAUUUAUUUUGCUUUUUAGGGCCUCACUGAGGCAUGUGGAAGUUCCCAAGCUAGGGGGUGAAUCAGAGCUGCGGCUGCCAGCCUACACCACAGCCAUAGCCACACCAGAUCUGAACCAUGUCUGUGACCUACACCGCAGCUCAUGGCAAUGCCAGAUCCUUAACCCACAGAGUGAGGCCAGGGUUUGAACCCAAGUCCUCAUGGACAUUAGUCAGCUGGUGGCUGCUGAGCCACAAUGGGAACGCCCUCAUUUUUUUUUUUUUUUUUUUCAUUCCUAACCCUGGCAAUGGACUGGCCUUUCCUGGUAGCAGCAGGGAUGUGACUGAGCCCUCCAUCCCACCAGAGCAGACCUACCACUCACAGAGAGCGAGAAGUGAUGCAUGUAGAGUCAGGACCUGAACUCGGAGCGGUGCCUCACCCGUCGGCUGUUCUUGACUCUCCACCACAGGUGCUAGCAUUAGUAAAAGUGGAAGUGGAGUUGGUCACUUUUUGUCUUUUCAAUCUUUAGGAUAAUAAAAGAGCCAAGGAACAGAACACAAAACACCCAUCAUUAGUUCAAGAUUUGGCAGUGAAUAUACAUAUGUGCAUAUGGAUGUAUAUGCACACACAUAAGUGUGUGACAUGAAUGCGUGUGUUGUGUGCAUAUACCCAUGGAGGUGUAUAUACAGAACCAUACAGAGGCCACUACUUCUGUCAAUUCUAUUCAUAAUGAUACUGACUUCGACUGUAUAUUUUCUUGUCCCUCAAAACAAAUUCUCUUCCUAAAGACAAGAGAGCUAUAGUUCAAGGAGUAAGGAAAUACUCUAGAAGAAUUUCUAAACUUACAUGUAAUCUCAUUCAUGAUAAGGCAUUAUAAUCAUUAAAGAAAAUGUGGAAAGAGAGAAAGAAAAAUGAAUCACUCUGAAUCCCCGUGCUCUAACACAAUGGCCAUUAGCGAUUUGAUUGCGUGUAUUUUGGUUUCCUUCCUUAAGACAUUUUUCCUUCAGUUGUCUUUUCGUUACAUCUCUUGGAUAAAGUAUGUUAAAUCAAUCAAAUAUCUUAAUAAUCUAACUGACAUUAUUAGCCAUUACUUCCUCUCCCAGUAGAUUUUAAAGUUCUUUAGGCAGGAACCAUGUCUUAGUCCACUUUCUGAUUUUUUUCUCUUUCCCCCAAGCUCUACCAUAAUGCCUUGUACCCGACAAGGAGGCGAUGAGUCUUGCUGAGUUGUAUUUUGCAUAAAAAGCGUAGAAGCCCUCAGAAGCCCUGGGAACAAAGAUUCAAGUGUCAGGGGAAAGUUGGGUUUUAAAUUGAAGGCGUAGUAAUGAAGCAUUUCCACUAUUCCCAGGAGACCAUUCUGAUUCCAAAAACACCCUCAACAUCGGGAUUUCUGUUUUCUCCCAGGUAAGAGUGUUCCGGAUUUUUAGGUCCACUCACAAACUGAGCAGAUUCCUGUCAUUCGCAUCAGGUUGGCUUACAGCAAUGCUCUUAUGCAAGAGGAACAUGCAAAGUUGACUUUUAUUAACAAAUGUACCCUCUGAGUCUCCAAAGGAAGUGGCAGCCUUCUCCAAAGGAACUGCUUUUUGCAUGAUAAAGAGGAUUAACUAAAAGAAGAACUGCAGUUAAUCUCUGGGUUUGCCCUGAUGGUUCUGCAGGGCUCUUUUCAAAAAUCAAAUUGGAAGGCCUUGAUUUCACUGGAGUUUUUCCUUUUUUUUUCUUCUUUUUUUUUACUUAUUUAUUUUUCUACUGUACAGCAUGGGGACCAAGUUAUACGUACACGUAUACAUAAUUUUUCCUGCCAUUGUUGUGUUGCAAUGUAAGUAUCUAGAUCACUGGAACCGUACCACUUUUGUCUAAAACUUUGAACUUUAAAAUAAGGAUCAUCAUGCAACAUACCAUGAAAUUUUAAUAGAAUCUUGGGUUCAGUCAUCAAGCAGCGGUCUCUUAGCCUCUGCUUAAAUGGUUUCAGAGCUGGGGAAUGUACCACAUCCCAGGCAAAAAAACACAUCUCUGCAUGUGGAAUAUACCUUCUACUCGUUGAUACUGAUAGGACUGGAGUAGGCACAGGUCGGCGUAGAAGUCCCAUUAGGGGAUCAUAGAUAGAGAGGGAAACCCAGGGGACGUUGGGAGAUCACUGUGAGUUAAUCAUUGCUCAAGAAAGCCAUCAGAACAAGGCAGGCUUGCUGGACUAGUGGAGGUGCGAGAAUUGCCUCAGGGAAUUCCCAUGGUGGCUCGAUGGUUAAUGAGUCCGACUAGGCACCCUGAGGUUGAGGGUUCGGUCCCUGCCCUUGCUCAGUGGGUUAACGAUCUGGCAUUGUCCUGAGCUGUGGUAUGGGUCCCAGACGCGGCUCGGAUCCCACGUUGCUGUGGCUCUGGCGUAGGCCGGCAGCUACAGCUCCAAUUCGACCCCUAGCCUGGGAACCUCCAUAUGCCAUGGGAGUGGCCCAAGAAAAAUGGCAAAAAGACCAAAAAAAAAAAAAAAAAAGAAUUGCCUUGGGUCCUUGGGGAGGCGGGGAUGGAAUGAAGCUUGCAUCCAGACUCAGACCAAGGCGGGGAGUUUGAGCACCGACCUUCUGCUGAUUUGAAUACACACGUUAUAGGAUGCCAAGGAGGAGCAACUGCUCAAAGAAAGAGGAAGAGACAGUCUUUUCCGACCCCCACUCCCCUUGGAGGAUAAAACUGUAGCCCACCGUUUUGGAGGGGGUGGGCGGGCAGAGCCUCGUUGCCUGUCUGCUUCUCUCACAAGCAUCUGUCAUAAUACAUCUAUUUCUUGCCCAUCACUUUGUCUCUCUCUGAAUACCUUCUGUGCGGAGGCAUGAAGAACCUGACUUAGUGAGUCCAGACACCUGGUGAGUGAGUCUAAUUUAAAACUGUGGGUUCAAGCCCCAAUCUGGGUUGAGACUGGGUUCAAGUCCCAAUCUGGAUUCUGGCUAGGUCCAGGCCAUUAGUGCUGUCCAUUUCAACACUGUUUCUAAGGGGAAAGUUAAUGAGCUAAGGAUUGCCCUUAGAGUCCACUUGCAGUGGGACUUGGUCCAGCAUCUCCAGAACCACCUAUAUCCCCAGGCUGACCCUGGAGACUUAGAUACUGCAGCUUGGCUGAGGGGGUGGCAAAUGCACCCUGGGAAAUUGUCAGAUGUAGAGAAAACAGAUUUUCCAUGGAAGGGCGGCAGAAGUAUUUUUAAACCCUGUAGAUCCGUGAGGCUGGAGGGGCACUGGGUGGGGUGAGCUGCAGCACGCACAUGCACACACGGGAUGAAGGGAAGGGAAUUAGAGGACAGAGAAGGAAGGAGACGCCAGGCCAGAGGGGUCAAAAGCCAAGGAGGGUGCACCAAACAUGAAGAGGAAAAAGGCUUGGAAUUCACAGUUUGGAUGCCCUAGAUUUCUUUCCUGGAUCCGCAGCUCCAUCGCCCCACUUAUCCCUUAUUCUUCUGAAGCACCAAGGUGAGGGGACCGGGAAAUGAACCAACCUCAUAUAAUAUAAGUAAAAGUAAUGCUAAUCACAAUUGUUUAUAAUGAAGGGUUCAGCCUUUUACCUAUUUCAUCUAUUUUAAUCCUUGUCAUACCUUCUUAGUUCUUCUCACUUUAUAGAUGAGGAAAAGAAAGCUGAGAGAGGUCAAUAACUUGUUGAAAGUCAAACAAAUGAAUGGCAGAGCUAGGGUGCAAACACGAUCUCCUGAACCCAGAGCCCAUGAUCCAAACUUCACAUCGUACGCUGUCUCCGCGCUGGAGCCACGUAGCCACAAACAAGUGUGGCUGGAGGGGGCCAUGUCAGUAGGGGUAGGGCGUGUGUGCUCUGAGGCUUCUGUCUGGCCUGCCUGUGGAUACAUGCAGCCAAGGGAGCCCAGAGACUAUCUAACAUCAGAGAACCAUCUCAACUGAAAAAUCUGAGCUCACGAAGGGGGUGGAAAGAGAUGUACCUUUGUUGAGCAUCAACGAUACACCAAGCAGAAUGCUGGAAACUUAUGAUAAUAAUAAACCAUGAAAUGGGUAUAAUAAAUUAAAUAAUAAAUAAACUGUCUUUUCACAGAGAACAGACCUGUGGUUGCCAAGGGGGAAGGGGAGAGAGUGGGAUGGAUGGGGAGUUUGGGGUUGGUAGAUGCCAACUAUUACAUUUAGAUUGGAUAAGCAAUGAGGUCCUACUGUGCAGCACAGGGAACUCUGUCCAGUCUCUUGGGAUAGAACAUGGUGGAAGGGGAAUGUGUGUGUGUGAGUGUAUGACUGGGUCACUUCGCUGUACAGCAGAAAUUGGCCAAACAUUGUAAAUCAACUAUGCUCUAAUAAAAAAAUACAACUGUCUUUUGAAAACAAAAUAGAGAACCUAUAGCAGAACAUUUUUAUUGAAUUUAAUAUAUGCAUAGACCUCACUCUAAUUCCAUGUGCUUAAUAUACUUAUUGAAUUAAUAUCAUAAUAGAUAGGAAAAGGU